UACGAAGGGGGCUAGCGUUGCUCGGAAUCACUGGGCGUAAAGGGUGCGUAGGCGGGUCUUUAAGUCAGGGGUGAGAUCCUGGAGCUCAACUCCAGAACUGCCUUUGAUACUGAAGAUCUUGAGUUCGGGGGAGGUGAGUGGAACUGCGAGUGUAGAGGUGAAAUUCGUAGAUAUUCGCAAGAACACCAGUGGCGAAGGCGGCUCACUGGCCCGGUACUGACGCUGAGGCACGAAAGCGUGGGGAGCAAACAGG
rnacentral:rRNA from 1 species